rnacentral:rRNA from 2 species
UGAGGGAAAGGCGAAAAGAACCCCGGCGAGGGGAGUGAAAAAGAACCUGAAACCGUGUACGUACAAGCAGUGGGAGCACAGGUUUACCUGUGUGACUGCGUACCUUUUGUAUAAUGGGUCAGCGACUUAUAUUCUGUAGCAAGGUUAACCGAAUAGGGGAGCCGGAGGGAAACCGAGUCUUAAUUGGGCGUUAAGUUGCAGGGUAUAGACCCGAAACCCGGUGAUCUAGCCAUGGGCAGGUUGAAGGUUGGGUAACACUAAC